ACAUGAUUGACAUGCAUCAGAAUCGUCAACAAACACACACUCACAUGCACACACCUAUUUAUAGGGGUAUAUAGGAUCAGUCCGUAGGCACGUUUGGUGUAUCUUCUCUAGUCUACCGUCACCAUGGCUCCCACAUACCUGGAGACAAUCCUGCUUCUCUGCUGUGUUGUGACCAUGUUCAGUUCAACCUCAGCCUCAUACGGUCCUAGGAGACGUUACUGUUGUGUGGAGUACCAGGAGAAGCCUGUGCCUGACCAGCAGAUAAAAGGCUACAAACUACAGAGCUCCAAGGAGGUGUGCAACAUCGACGCUGAUCAUCUUCUACACCUUGAAGAACAAAAAGGUGUGCGCCACAGUUAAGGACAAAUGGGUGAGGAAGGCUCUGGCUCGUCUCAGGUACGCAAACACACUUCUCUUAAUAAGUCCACACA